rnacentral:rRNA from 1 species
GAUCAUGGCUCAGGAUGAACGCUAGCGACAGGCUUAACACAUGCAAGUCGAGGGGCAGCGGGGUGUAGCAAUACACCGCCGGCGACCGGCGCACGGGUGAGUAACGCGUAUGCAACUUGCCUAUCAGAGGGGGAUAACCCGGCGAAAGCCGGACUAAUACCGCAUGAAGCAGGGAUCCCGCAUGGGAAUAUUUGCUAAAGAAUUUCGGUUAUCGAUGGGGAUGCGUUCCAUUAGGCAG